rnacentral:misc_RNA from 1 species
GUGAAUCAUCGAAUCUUUGAACGCAAAUUGCGCCUUUUUCGGAAGGCAUGUCUGUUUGAGGGUCAUUUGAAAUAAUAUAAAUUUUUCGAGAUUUUCUUGGAAUCAAAAAUGGGACGGUCCAGCAUUCGUGUGGUGGUCGCCUAAAAUGCAAGACAAGCUCAUUUCUUGGGUUGCGUGAUACGUUCAGUUACCUCGUGACUUCACAAGGAAUCUUUGAGCGUGUUAGGAAUUGUGCACGAGAUAAACUUUCAUUUAUCUCGAGCUCAAUAUUAAAUUGAAUCAUGACCUCAAAUUAGGUAGG